GACGAACGCUGGCGGCGUGCUUAACACAUGCAAGUCGAGCGAGGCCCUCCUUCGGGGGGUGCCCUAGCGGCGAACGGGUGAGUAACACGUGGGCAACCUGCCCUCAGCUCUGGGAUAACUCCAAGAAAUUGGUGCUAAUACCGGAUGUGACCGCUGACCGCAUGGUCUGGUGGUGGAAAGAUUUAUCGGCUGAGGAUGGGCCCGCGGCCUAUCAGCUUGUUGGUGGGGUCACGGCCCACCAAGGCGACGACGGGUAGCCGGCCUGAGAGGGUGACCGGCCACACUGGGACUGAGACACGGCCCAGACUCCUACGGGAGGCAGCAGUGGGGAAUAUUGCGCAAUGGGCGAAAGCCUGACGCAGCGACGCCGCGUGAGGGAUGACGGCCUUCGGGUUGUAAACCUCUUUCAGUAGGGACGAAGCGCAAGUGACGGUACCUACAGAAGAAGCACCGGCCAACUACGUGCCAGCAGCCGCCGUAAGAC
rnacentral:rRNA from 1 species